UGUGGUGACGAUGGCGAGAAGGAUACACCUGUUCCCAUGUCGAACACAGAAGUUAAGCUUCUUGGCGCCGAGAGUAGUUGGGGGAUCGCUCC
rnacentral:rRNA from 1 species